AUUGAACGCUGGCGGCAGGCCUAACACAUGCAAGUCGAGCGAGCGGCGGACGGGUGAGUCAUGUCUGGGAAACUGCAUUAUGGAGGGGGAUAACUACUGGAAACGGUAGCUAAUACCGCAUACCAUCAGAUGUGCCCAGAUGGGAUUAGCUAGUAGGUGGGGGAACGGCUCACCUAGGCGACGAUCCCUAGCUGGUCUGAGAGGAUGACCAGCCACACUGGAACUGAGACACGGUCCAGACUCUAACGGGAGGCAGCAGUGGGGAAUAUUGCACAAUGGGCUCAAGCCUGAUGCAUCCAUGCCGCGUGUGUGAAGAAGGCAUUCGGGUUGUAAAGUACUUUCAGCGGGGAGGCGUUACCCGCAGAAGAAGCACCGGCUAACUCCGUGCCAGCAGCCGCGGUAAUAC
rnacentral:rRNA from 1 species